AACGAACGCUGGCGGCAUGCCUAACACAUGCAAGUCGAACGAAGCCUUCGGGCUUAGUGGCGCACGGGUGCGUAACACGUGGGAAUCUGCCCUUCGGUUCGGAAUAACAGUUAGAAAUGACUGCUAAUACCGGAUGAUGACGAAAGUCCAAAGAUUUAUCGCCGAAGGAUGAGCCCGCGUAGGAUUAGGUAGUUGGUAGGGUAAUGGCCUACCAAGCCGACGAUCCUUAGCUGGUCUGAGAGGAUGAUCAGCCACACUGGGACUGAGACACGGCCCAGACUCCUACGGGAGGCAGCAGUGGGGAAUAUUGGACAAUGGGCGAAAGCCUGAUCCAGCAAUGCCGCGUGAGUGAUGAAGGCCUUAGGGUUGUAAAGCUCUUUUACCAGGGAUGAUAAUGACAGUACCUGGAGAAUAAGCUCCGGCUAACUCCGUGCCAGGAGCCGCGGUAAUCUGUAGUCGU
rnacentral:rRNA from 1 species